UCCCGCGUGGGAAAAGAAAAAGUCAGAUGUAUUUAACCUCUUUCCUUUCAUAGCUGUCAAUUUACAGAUUUACUAUAUUCUAUGCAAAAAUCACGGAAUUUUUUUUCACAUUCCAAAGAAUCAAACUAUUCAUCUUCUUCACCAUCUUUAGUGCCCAAAUUAGGCAUUUUCCAAUUUUCAACAGUCUAAAUAAUAAUGGAAUCAACUCAUCCCCUUCAGUUUCUUCAAUUCUCUGAUUUCGGUGCUCGUACUCUCCAAAUUAAAUCCAUGGCAACGGGAAAUAUUCAGCAAUCCUUCGAUCUAUUUCCCUUUUCUGUUUGUUCUCACUUCUCACUCAAAUAAUUAACGGAAGAAAUUUUAUGGUUGAGGAUUCUUAAUUGUCGGAAUUGCAUAAGCAGCUCUUAAUAUUGUCGCAUUGCAUAAGAUUCAAGAGCUAGGUUUCAGGAAAGACAACCAUUGGCGAACUCAUGGACGAACUCACCACCACCGGCGAAUUGCACUACCACCGGAGAACUACCGUACCAUCGGCGACCUCACCAUCGUUGCUAGCGAACUACAAAUUUAGGUUACUUCAAUAGAAAAGGCUGAAUAUGAGAAAAUCUUAAAAGGCGCUGACAACAGAAGAUAGUACCAAUCUGUCUCGUUCGGCAAAAGGCUACAAUCAUAAGUUUGCUGGUAUUGCUAGUUUCUUGAAUCCAAUCAUCCAUUUUACCUAUCAAGGUGUGAUUUCUUUAACUAGCUUAGGUGAGCAAAAUCUUCUGACCUUCGUUCUCCUCUUUCAUUCUAAUUUACUAUAAUUUUAUUUCAAGAGCGUAGAAUGGCUGACCGGUUUAGAUUGCAUGUUAAGGGAGGUGACAGUGGAAGUGGGAAUGGAAGUUUGUGACGUAGUUGAACUGAUCGGUAUGGCAAGCCUGAUGGUGAAAAGGCGGUGAUGUGAUUAACAUCGUAUUCUAUGUAUCUGCUAUUGCUGUAUUUUAGGUCAUGGAACAAUUAAUUCAUUCAUUAUAGAUGAUAUCCUUGUGGCUAAUUUGCAGAAUGGACGAUGGGGUGGGCAUGGUACUUCAAAGAAUAAGAUCGGCAGCCGUGGAGAAGACAAGGUUGUGCAAGUUCCUGUUUCUACUGCUAUCUAUUUUGUGGAGAGUGAAAUCCCUUCAAUAGUGGAGAAGUCAUCUUCUGUGAUUCACCCUUGGGAUGGUAUUUUUACUUCUGAUCUCCUUGCAUCUGAUCAGCUAUCCACUUUUAGUUUGUGGGAGCCGGAUAUGGAUUAGGUUGAGGAAAAAUGUUUAAACCAACAACAAUUUAGUGAGAUCAUCAUGCAUCAUUAGAUCUGAUACAAUGUAAGCUCCUGAUAAGAGAAGGUUUUUUCUCACUUGUUUAAGUGAAUUGCAUCUGCAGCAUGGUACACUUCACAUACUUGAUUCCUUUCCCUUCAGCUUCUUGUAAGACUGUCCAUUCUUUGUGAUGUGUGGUAAACACCAUACCUCAUCAUCCAAAGACGUAUUUUCUUUCUUUUGAUAAGCUGAAUGAGCAAAUUAACUUACUCAGCAGCUACAAAGGAUACAGAAGACAAGACGAGACACCAAAUCCAAGUAAACACAAAGACAAGACACCAAAUUUUGCUCCCUUCCAAACACAUAAAGUUUUCUCAAGAAACUUAUUCAUCGGAAAAUGUGGAUGAGGUUAGAGACGUGUGG